AUUGAACGCUGGCGGCAUGCCUUACACAUGCAAGUCGAACGGCAGCACGGGUGCUUGCACCUGGUGGCGAGUGGCGAACGGGUGAGUAAUACAUCGGAACAUGUCCUGUAGUGGGGGAUAGCCCGGCGAAAGCCGGAUUAAUACCGCAUACGAUCUACGGAUGAAAGCGGGGGACCUUCGGGCCUCGCGCUAUAGGGUUGGCUGAUGGCUGAUUAGCUAGUUGGUGGGGUAAAGGCCUACCAAGGCGACGAUCAGUAGCUGGUCUGAGAGGACGACCAGCCACACUGGGACUGAGACACGGCCCAGACUCCUACGGGAGGCAGCAGUGGGGAAUUUUGGACAAUGGGCGAAAGCCUGAUCCAGCAAUGCCGCGUGUGUGAAGAAGGCCUUCGGGUUGUAAAGCACUUUUGUCCGGAAAGAAAUCCUUGGCUCUAAUACAGUCGGGGGAUGACGGUACCGGAAGAAUAAGCACCGGCUAACUACGUG
rnacentral:rRNA from 1 species